CGUCGUGAGACAGUUCGGUCCCUAUCUGCCGUGGGCGCUGGAGAAUUGAGGGGGGCUGCUCCUAGUACGAGAGGACCGGAGUGGACGCAUCACUGGUGUUCGGGUUGUCAUGCCAAUUGCACUGCCCGGUAGCUAAAUGCGGAAGAGAUAAGUGCUGAAAGCAUCUAAGCACGAAACUUGCCCCGAGAUGAGUUCUCCCUGAGACUUUAAGUCUCCUGAAGGAACGUUAAAGACGAUGACGUUGAUAGGCCGGGUGUGUAAGCGCAGCGAUGCGUUGAGCUAACCGGUACUAAUGAACCGUGAGGCUUAACCUUACAACGCCGAAG
rnacentral:rRNA from 1 species